GAAAAACUAACGUAGCAUAAAUUGUCUCAGCUGUAUCAAUUUGUUUUCCUGUAUGAAAAGUGUUCACAUUUACAGCUUUGUUUCUGCUAGCUUGCAGGAAUUGUAACUUACAUAAAUGGUUGAAGACAACUUAUUGGCCUUCAUGAGACUCAGAUAAAUGAGAGGAUCACACCUGUCGACAACAAAGGUUUAAGAACUACUGAAUUUUCAGUCAGAAAUUAUCACACCGCUUGGUUGAAGUACCAGUGUCCAUAUGCAAGUCAACAAAGCAGAGAGGAAACACCUCAUUGACAAUAUGUGAGUCUCAAUCUCAACCUGUAACGGGGAAGACCAUAACUAUGACGCACACCAUCCUGAGCAAAGUCUGAACUCAGUGACUUGUUACGCUCAACCCAGAGCAAGAAUCCUUUUAUCAACGGUUUUUCUUCUACAAUAGGUUAUCUCUUAAAUGUACGGAGCCCCCCAGGGGACAUGGGGAAUUUCUUUUCUUUUGCGUUCCCUCGCAAAAAG